rnacentral:rRNA from 1 species
UUUAACUGAAGAGUUUGAUCAUGGCUCAGAUUGAACGCUGGCGGCAGGCUUAACACAUGCAAGUCGAGCGGGGGAAGGUAGCUUGCUACUGGACCUAGCGGCGGACGGGUGAGUAAUGCUUAGGAAUCUGCCUAUUAGUGGGGGACAACAUCUCGAAAGGGAUGCUAAUACCGCAUACGUCCUACGGGAGAAAGCAGGGGAUCUUCGGACCUUGCGCUAAUAGAUGAGCCUAAGUCGGAUUAGCUAGUUGGUGGGGUAAAGGCCUACCAAGGCGACGAUCUGUAGCGGGUCUGAGAGGAUGAUCCGCCACACUGGGACUGAGACACGGCCCA